GGGUUGUGAGGUUAAGCGACUAAGCGUACACGGUGGAUGCCCUGGCAGUCAGAGGCGAUGAAGGACGUGCUAAUCUGCGAUAAGCGUCGGUAAGGUGAUAUGAACCGUUAUAACCGGCGAUUUCCGAAUGGGGAAACCCAGUGUGAUUCGUCACACUAUCAUUAACUGAAUCCAUAGGUUAAUGAGGCGAACCGGGGGAACUGAAACAUCUAAGUACCCCGAGGAAAAGAAAUCAACCGAGAUUCCCCCAGUAGCGGCGAGCGAACGGGGAGCAGCCCAGAGCCUGAAUCAGUGUGUGUGUUAGUGGAAGCGUCUGGAAAGGCGUGCGAUACAGGGUGACAGCCCCGUACACAAAAAUGCACAUGCUGUGAGCUCGAUGAGUAGGGCGGGACACGUGGUAUCCUGUCUGAAUAUGGGGGGACCAUCCUCCAAGGCUAAAUACUCCUGACUGACCGAUAGUGAACCAGUACCGUGAGGGAAAGGCGAAAAGAACCCCGGCGAGGGGAGUGAAAAAGAACCUGAAACCGUGUACGUACAAGCAGUGGGAGCACGCUUAGGCGUGUGACUGCGUACCUUUUGUAUAAUGGGUCAGCGACUUAUAUUCUGUAGCAAGGUUAACCGAAUAGGGGAGCCGAAGGGAAACCGAGUCUUAACUGGGCGUUAAGUUGCAGGGUAUAGACCCGAAACCCGGUGAUCUAGCCAUGGGCAGGUUGAAGGUUGGGUAACACUAACUGGAGGACCGAACCGACUAAUGUUGAAAAAUUAGCGGAUGACUUGUGGCUGGGGGUGAAAGGCCAAUCAAACCGGGAGAUAGCUGGUUCUCCCCGAAAGCUAUUUAGGUAGCGCCUCGUGAAUUCAUCUCCGGGGGUAGAGCACUGUUUCGGCAAGGGGGUCAUCCCGACUUACCAACCCGAUGCAAACUGCGAAUACCGGAGAAUGUUAUCACGGGAGACACACGGCGGGUGCUAACGUCCGUCGUGAAGAGGGAAACAACCCAGACCGCCAGCUAAGGUCCCAAAGUCAUGGUUAAGUGGGAAACGAUGUGGGAAGGCCCAGACAGCCAGGAUGUUGGCUUAGAAGCAGCCAUCAUUUAAAGAAAGCGUAAUAGCUCACUGGUCGAGUCGGCCUGCGCGGAAGAUGUAACGGGGCUAAACCAUGCACCGAAGCUGCGGCAGCGACGCUGAUGCGUUGUUGGGUAGGGGAGCGUUCUGUAAGCCUGCGAAGGUGUGCUGUGAGGCAUGCUGGAGGUAUCAGAAGUGCGAAUGCUGACAUAAGUAACGAUAAAGCGGGUGAAAAGCCCGCUCGCCGGAAGACCAAGGGUUCCUGUCCAACGUUAAUCGGGGCAGGGUGAGUCGACCCCUAAGGCGAGGCCGAAAGGCGUAGUCGAUGGGAAACAGGUUAAUAUUCCUGUACUUGGUGUUACUGCGAAGGGGGGACGGAGAAGGCUAUGUUGGCCGGGCGACGGUUGUCCCGGUUUAAGCGUGUAGGCUGGUUUUCCAGGCAAAUCCGGAAAAUCAAGGCUGAGGCGUGAUGACGAGGCACUACGGUGCUGAAGCAACAAAUGCCCUGCUUCCAGGAAAAGCCUCUAAGCAUCAGGUAACAUCAAAUCGUACCCCAAACCGACACAGGUGGUCAGGUAGAGAAUACCAAGGCGCUUGAGAGAACUCGGGUGAAGGAACUAGGCAAAAUGGUGCCGUAACUUCGGGAGAAGGCACGCUGAUAUGUAGGUGAAGCGACUUGCUCGUGGAGCUGAAAUCAGUCGAAGAUACCAGCUGGCUGCAACUGUUUAUUAAAAACACAGCACUGUGCAAACACGAAAGUGGACGUAUACGGUGUGACGCCUGCCCGGUGCCGGAAGGUUAAUUGAUGGGGUCAGCGCAAGCGAAGCUCUUGAUCGAAGCCCCGGUAAACGGCGGCCGUAACUAUAACGGUCCUAAGGUAGCGAAAUUCCUUGUCGGGUAAGUUCCGACCUGCACGAAUGGCGUAAUGAUGGCCAGGCUGUCUCCACCCGAGACUCAGUGAAAUUGAACUCGCUGUGAAGAUGCAGUGUACCCGCGGCAAGACGGAAAGACCCCGUGAACCUUUACUAUAGCUUGACACUGAACAUUGAGCCUUGAUGUGUAGGAUAGGUGGGAGGCUUUGAAGUGUGGACGCCAGUCUGCAUGGAGCCGACCUUGAAAUACCACCCUUUAAUGUUUGAUGUUCUAACGUGGACCCGUGAUCCGGGUUGCGGACAGUGUCUGGUGGGUAGUUUGACUGGGGCGGUCUCCUCCUAAAGAG
rnacentral:rRNA from 1 species